UGGCGGCGUGCCUAACACAUGCAAGUCGAACGAGAAAGUGGAGCAAUCCAUGAGUACAGUGGCGUACGGGUGAGUAACACGUGACUAACCUACCCUCGAGUGGGGAAUAACUUCGGGAAACCGAGGCUAAUACCGCAUAAUGUCUGACCAAAUGCGCAAGCAGCUUGAGGAGGGGGUCGCGGCUGAUUAGCUCGUUGGCGGGGUAACGGCCCACCAAGGCAAUGAUCAGUAGCCGGCCUGAGAGGGCGCACGGCCACACUGGAACUGAAACACGGUCCAGACUCCUACGGGAGGCGGCAGUGGGGAAUUUUGCGCAAUGGGGGAAACCCUGACGCAGCAACGCCGCGUGGAGGAUGAAGCCCCUUGGGGUGUAAACUCCUUUCGAUCGGGACGAUUAUGACGGUACCGGAUGAAGAAGCACCGGCUAACUCUGUGCCAGCAGCCGCGGUAAUACAGAGGGUGCAAGCGUUGUUCGGAAUUAUUGGGCGUAAAGGGUGCGUAGGCGGUGCGGUAAGUCUUCUGUGAAACCUCCGGGCUUAACUCGGAGCCUGCAGGGAAACUGCCGUGCUGGAGUAUGGGAGAGGUGAGUGGAAUUCCCGGUGUAGCGGUGAAAUGCGUAAAUAUCGGGAGAACACCUGUGGCGAAAGCGGCUCACUGGACCAUUACUGACGCUGAUGCACGAAAAGCUAGGGGAGCAAACAGGAUUAGAUACCCUGGUAGUCCUAGCCCUAAACUAUGAUCGCUUGGUGUGACAGGUACCCAAUCCUGUCGUGCCGGAGCUAACGCGUU
rnacentral:rRNA from 1 species